AUUUAAACAGUUUCUGACAUACAUAUCAAUUUUAGGAUGAAAUAAAAUUAAACUCAUGAUGUUAACUACAUAAUAACAUUAAGUUAAGAAAAGUUGUCAUGCAUAAUAUAUAUUUCAUAUAGUUAGAUAUGCAUUAAUUUAAUUUAUAUGGUUAACCAUGUGAUGAUCAAUCGUUCAAUGCAGUCAACAAUCAUUUCCUUAUUUUUUUGAUACAACACCGUUUUGAACCAGCCUUUUAGUUCAUUACGUGUAGAACUCGUACUCGGUAUUUAUAGAACAAGCAAAUAAAAUGAAGAUCGAUAAAUAUGAGAAAGGGAGUUCCAUAAGAAAUGAUGGACAAGAUUGGUAACUAAUAAAUCUUAGAAGGUUGCAUUUGUGUUUGGACGAUAACACUCAUCUCUUAAACAUCUCCUCAUCAAUCACAUGUCAACAAAAGCUAUCAAGAUUCAAUGUAUCGAUCUCGACAUAAAAGUGAUGAUAAGUCUUUUUAAUGAUAAAAUGCUUCGAAACUAUUUCACCUGUAAAUUCUAACAUUGAAAUGAACUUUUUUAAAGUUAAGGAUCGUAACUUAAUUUAUAACCCUAAUCAAGGAAAUCUAACUAUUUAUUAUUCGGUUUAGACUUCGUAUAAAGGUUGCACGGCGGAAUUUUUAUAGUCUAGAGAUUGGUAAACCCAAUGAAUUGGGAAGUUAAAGGUUUCAAAAAGUUGUGUACAUGGUGCUACUACUAAUUUAUGGCUCCUAAUAUUUUUAACCGCCCC
rnacentral:lncRNA from 1 species